rfam:Paramecium tetraurelia chromosome undetermined scaffold_2, whole genome shotgun sequence.
GCACUGUUAGUAUAAGGGUAGUAUACAAGGUUGCCAUCCUUGUGACACGAGUUCGAGUCUCGUACAGUGCA